AUUUUACCCAAAGAACACCCUAUCACGGAACUUGUAGUAAGAGCGGUUCAUGAACAACUCGGACAUGGUUCUGGAGUAGAACACACUCUCUCCGAAUUACGUAGUAGGUUUUGGGUGAUAAGAGGACGGGCUGUAGUACGUAAAAUUCUUAAUCAUUGCCAAGUGUGUAAGAAACGCUUUACUGCUAAACCUAUUGGUCAAAUGAUGGCACCGCUGCCGAGACCAAGAGUAAUUUCAUCGAUGAAAGCCUUUUGUCGAGUAGGAGUAGACUACGGAGGCCCAUACCUGACAAAACAAGGUCGCGGCAAGAGUAGAGCAAAAAGAUAUCUCUGUUUAUUUACUUGUCUCGUGACACGCGCGGUACAUUUGGAAAUGGCCUAUGCAUUAGACACAGAUUCGUUUAUGAAUGCAUUCGCCCGGAUGGUGUCACGGAGGGGGACGCCUUCGUACGUUUUAUCAGAUAACGGUACCAACUUCGUUUCAGGAGAACGAGAACUGAGAGAACUUGUUGAACAAUUAGACCAAGAGAAGAUUGUUCGGGACAGUUCGCGAUUCUCUCACAUCGAAUGGCAUUUCAACCCUCCAGCUAGCCCACAUUUCGGGGGAGUAUUUGAAGCCAUGAUAAAAAGUGCCAAGAAAGCUAUAAAGGGCAUCUUAGGAAAUGCGGACGUCUCCGAUGAAGAGCUACAUACAGCCAUUUGUGGGGCGGAGAAGUUAUUGAACUCGAGGCCUAUCACGUACGUAAGUUCGGAUUCCAACGACUUAUGUCCUCUCACUCCCAAUCAUUUCAUCCACGGACAGCUUGGAGGAACAUUUGCGGUGGAGGCAAUUGAGGAAGAAACGUUCAACCCCCGCAAAAGAUGGCAUCGUGUUCAACAACUAAUCGGUCAAGUUUGGAAACGUUGGAGAAGGGAAUUGCUCCCGACUUUAAAUCGUAGAAAGAAGUGGUUUCAUCCCACACGUAAUAUGAAGGAAGGAGAUAUUGUUUUAAUGAUUGAGCCAAAUGCAAAUCGCUGUGACUGGCCGUUGGGACGUAUUACUGAGACUUUUCCUGGGAACGAUGGCUUGGUGCGAGUGGUCAGAGUUAAAGCUAAAGGAAAGGAGUAUUUGCGACCGGUUCAUAGAUUAUGCCCUCUUGAGUACGUUUAGUAAUAAACCCGAGGAUAUGGAGGAGAUUGUACAGAAUUACCUGCGAAAGAAACGGACAGUUAUGAAACUAAACUGACAACAUAAUUUCAUAUUAGCGGAGUUAGUUACUCCUAGUUUUGUUAAUGUUUUACGAAUGUUAGACUAUCUCGAAUGUUACACAUUCGGGAGGGGGAUGUUACGAACAGAUUACUAUAGAUAAGAUGAAGUAGUUAUAGUUUCCCGCCAUAUAUCGCGGGCUCGGACACGUUGGGAAAAAUAGAUUUUAUACUUUUAUAUUCUAACCGAGUUGGCGGUUAAAAAUGCAAUAAAUUUGUCAUAAAAAUAGAGAUUUUGAGUUAAACUAGGCAAGAACCAGCAAAUCAAACUACGUUCUCAAGUUGGUGAGAACAUUUA